GGUAGAGCAAAUCUCAAAAAAACAAUCUCAGUUCAGACUGCAGGCUGCAACUCGCCUGCACGAAGUCGGAAUUGCUAGUAAUCGUAGGUCAGCAUACUACGGUGAAUACGUUCCCGGGCCUUGUACACACCGCCCGUCAAACCAUGAGAGUUGGCAACACCCGAAGUCGGUAGUCUAACCGCAAGGAGGACGCCGCCGAAGGUGGGGUUGAUGAUUAGGGUUAAGUCGUAACAAGGUAUC
rnacentral:rRNA from 1 species